rnacentral:rRNA from 1 species
CAAAAACAUAGCUAGAUGUCACUAUAUUUAGUACCUCCUGCUCAAUGAUAUAUUUUAAUAGCCGCAGUACCUUGACUGUGCAAAGGUAGCAUAAUCAAUUGGCUUAUAAUUGAAGUCUAGAAUGAAAGGAUAUACGGGUAAUUACUGUAUCGGAUAUUUAUUACAAAAUUGGUUUUCAAGUGCAAAUACUUGCAAAUAAUUGUUAGACGAGAAGACCCUAGAAAUUUGUACUAAUGUUUCGUUGGGGCAACGUGGUAGGAAUAACCUACAAUAAAAGACAAGUAAAAAAUUUGAGAGAAAAAAUUACUCUAGGGAUAACAGCAUAAUUUAUAAAAGUUUGUGACCUCGAUGUUGGAUUUGGGAAUUAUAGUUCARAARACUUUUAAUACUGCUCUGUUCGAGCAUAGCAC